rnacentral:lncRNA from 1 species
AUGAGGCCAUUAGGCAGGAGAAGGGCAGAGGAUGGACAUGCCUCAAGCGUGCUCCUGGUUGCAGCCUGGAGAGCCUGUGCUUCCAGCACAUACCCACUGCCGGGGGGAAUGUGGGGCUGCUAUCCCAGGGGACCUGGGGCUGCUGUCCUAGGGGAUAUGGAACCACUGUCCCAGGAUUAUGGGAUCCAUGUCCUGGGCUCUUGGGUUGCUGCCCCCAGGACUUGGGGCUGCUGUUCCAGGGUAAUGGGGCCACUCUCCCUGGGGCUAUGUGGCCGCUGUGCCGGGGGGCUUGAGGCUACUCUCCAGGGCCCAUGUGCCGCCGUCCACGGAGCCUGGGGCCGCUGUCCUGGGGUGCUCGGACCUCCACGGGGGUCAGCCACUCCCCGACCCCGUCCCGGCAGCGCCGGGCAAGGAGCAGCCGGGGCCGGUGGUGGCCGGGACAGGCCGGGGGCGUGCUGGGGGCCGGCGGGCCCUUUAAGAAAGUUGAAGCCCGAAAGUUCAUUAAAGUUGAGAAAGUUUUUCGUGGAAAGGGGAAAAAAGCCAAAAACAACAAAAAACCCCCGCACCCCCCUCAGUGGGAUGGGUGCUGCCGUGCCCGGCGGAGGGUCUCCCGGGCUGCACAAUAUCCCGCGGGGCUGGUGGAGACGGGCUCCGGCUGCCUCCCUCCUCCCUGGCUGCAUCCCGGCACGUCGGCGCCAGCAAAGGGCUCUUUGUUCCUCGGAUCCGAGGCCCGACUUUCUCCCACGUCGCGGGGGCUGUGGACGCGGCCGGGGCCUGGACACAGGCAGCAGAGCAGGGCUCCCGGCUCCAACUCCUGGCUCCAGCUCCUGCCGCAGGCAGAAACGGGCCACGGGAACCAGAGCCGCUUCGCUUCCCUGUGGCACGGUUGCACCACUUGCCCACUUCAUCCUUCCUGGGCCGAGCAGCCGGUGCAGCUCCAGGGCUGGAGCGAGGGGGUCCGACCCUGGCUUCACCCGGGAGCCCACGGAGAAGAGCAUAAAACGGGUAAAAGGAGGAAAAAAAGAGGUAAAAGGGGGCUAA